CCUACGGGAGGCAGCAGUGAGGAAUAUUGGUCAAUGGACGAGAGUCUGAACCAGCCAAGUAGCGUGAAGGAUGACUGCCCUAUGGGUUGUAAACUUCUUUUAUAUGGGAAUAAAAUGUUCCACGUGUGGGAUUUUGUAUGUACCAUAUGAAUAAGGAUCGGCUAACUCCGUGCCAGCAGCCGCGGUAAUACGGAGGAUCCGAGCGUUAUCCGGAUUUAUUGGGUUUAAAGGGAGCGUAGGUGGAUUGUUAAGUCAGUUGUGAAAGUUUGCGGCUUAACCGUAAAAUUGCAGUUGAAACUGGCAGUCUUGAGUACAGUAGAGGUGGGCGGAAGUCGUGGUGUAGCGGUGAAAUGCUUAGAUAUCACGAAGAACUCCGAUUGCGAAGGCAGUUCACUGGACUGCAACUGACACUGAGGCUCGAAAGUGUGGGUAUCAAACAGGAUUAGAUACCCGGGUAGUC
rnacentral:rRNA from 1 species